UGAUAUUGGAUUGAAUGGAAGGGAAAAAAUAGGUAACGAAAGACAACACGACUCUCGGGGUCAGGCCUACAAAUUCAUCAAUGCAUGAUGUUGUCCUACAAGUUGCGCCCAUAAUACGCAAAGAGAGAGAGAGAGAGAGAGAGAGAGAGAGAGAGAGAGAGAGAGAGAGGUUCCCAUAUGAGCACCUCCACCACCAUGAGCUCCACAACUGAGCCUAAGAAGCUUCACAUAGCCGUGUUUCCAUGGCUGGCCUUUGGUCACAUAAUUCCAUUUUUUGAGGUUGCCAAGCACGUAGCUCGAAGAGGUCACAAAGUUUCCUUCAUAUCCACCCCACGAAACAUCCAACGCCUCCCCAAAAUCCCUCAACACUUAACCCCUUUGAUCAAUUUAGUGCAGAUCCCGCUGCCACGUGUCGAAAAUCUGCCGGAGAAUGCAGAGGCCACUAUGGACGUGCCAUACCACAUAAUCCCAUACCUCAAAAUAGCUCAUGAUGGACUCGAACAAGGUAUUUCCAAUUUCCUACAAACUCACAAGCCGGAUUGGAUUAUUCACGACUUUGCCCCUCACUGGCUACCACCUAUAGCUUCUAGCCUAGGCAUUUCACGAGCACAUUUCAGUAUUUUCAACGCAUCCACUCUAUGUUUUAUUGGACCAACAUCACCGGAGGGACUAGAUCGCUAUGGUGUUAGAACACUACCAGAGCACUUCACUGUCCCUCCCGAAUGGAUCCCUUUCCCUUCAAAUUUGGUUUUUAGGUCUUUUGAGGCCAAGAAACUGUUUGACGCUACGAAACAAAACGCUUCCGGUGUUUCGGAUUUGUUUCGUGUGCAGUCGACGGUCCAAGGUUGUCAAGUCUAUUUGAUUCGAAGUUGUAGAGAGAUUGAGGGUGAGUGGCUCGAUUUGCUACAAGAGCUUCAACAAUUUCCUGUGGUUCCAAUAGGCUUAUUGCCACCUUUGGUUCAAACUAGAGAAGACAAAGAAGAUUGGUCUAGAAUUUAUCAGUGGUUGGACAAACAAGAGAAUGGAACUGUAGUUUACAUUGCCCUUGGAAGUGAGCUUAACUUAAGCCAAGAAGACUUCACCGAGUUGGCUCUUGGAUUGGAGCUAUCUGGGUUGCCCUUCUUUUGGGUCCUGAGGACACCUAGUUGGUCAGGAGACAGUGACUCGGUGAAGCUACCAGAUGGGUUCGAGGAGCGAACCAAGGGUCGUGGACUGGUUUGGACAACUUGGGCACCUCAAACCAAGAUAUUGGCUCACGACUCAAUUGGGGGGUUUUUGACUCAUUGAUGUUGGAGUUCACUCAUAGAGGUACUCCAAUAUGGACGUCCUCUUAUCAUGUUGCCCUUCUUGUAUGACCAAGGGCUAAUUGCUAGGUUUUGGGACAAGAAGAUUGGAAUUGAAGUUCCGAGAAAUGAAGAAGAUGGAUCAUUUACCAGGAAAUCGUUGGACGAGUCUCUGAAUUUGGUUGUGGUGGAUGAGGAAGGGAAGGAUUACAGAGAUGGAGCCAAAGAAUAUAGUGUGCUAUUUCAAGAUAAGGACCUCCAUGAUAGAUACAUGGACAAAUGUGUGGAGUAUAUGGAAAACCAUGUGGAUGCUUGACAGGUAUCAUGCUUUUAUUAGCGAAUUGAGCUUUAACUAAACCUGUUUGCCAUGCCUCUUUUCUAAAGAUAUUAUUAUAAGUUAAUGUUGCCGUUGACCUACUGGAAGUGCAUUCAAUCGCA